rnacentral:rRNA from 1 species
GAAGGUUGGUCAUGCCUCUGGUAUGUACUGGUCUAACUGAUUCCUCAUUCCUGAUGAACCUUAAUCCCAUUAAUUUUGUGUUUUGGGGAAUUUGGACUGUUACUUUGAAAAAAUUAGAGUGUUUAAAGCAAGCUAACGCUUGAAUACAUUAGCAUGGAAUAAUGAAAUAGGACGUUCGAUCCUAUUUUGUUGGUUUCUAGGAUUGACGUA